AAAGAAAUUGGCAGCUUUUGAGCCAUUGAUGUGGUGGACACUGGAGCCAGAGGGAGGAGGAUUGUAGAUAACAGAAGCUAAAUUUGAAGAAAGUUUAAACCUGUUCCGAGUUAUGGAUUUCUUCGAAAUGCUUGGGUCUUCAACGAAGCUGGCCUAUGACAAUUGUCUAUCCUUGUGGCAGAAAACAGAAUCAGAAGACAUAAAUAAUAUGAUGGUUGACAUUUAUCAAGAAGCAGGACCCACCCUGUUAGAGGAACCGGAAUCAAGCAUAGUGUUCAUGGAUCUGCACAGACAGGAUGAAGAUCACAUUAAAAGGUGAAGAGGAUGGUUAAACCUGGUUGUUCACAAGAAGUGUUAAAAGUGGCAUUGAAUUCCAUGUCCUCGCUAGUAAGCAUACUUACCUACAUGUCAUCCUCUCCAAAGCCCCAUUCCUCACUUUGAACAAGAAUUAAUCCAACGUUGUGGUCAUGUUUUACACAGAAGAAGAAUCUGCCUGGAUGUCCAUCAGAUGAAAUUGCAUGUUGCAGAUUUGCAUGCCUGUAUCUCUGUAUUAAACCUUCUGUUCUACUUUUGUAUAGUCACAUAGUGGUCCAGAUCAAUGUACAUUUAAAUUUAUUGAAGAAGCAAGAUAUGGGAAUGUUCUAUUCUGUAACUUGUCAGCACACAACAUUAUGCAUCGCAAGCUGUCACACUUGUAGUUAAUUAUUAUUCAUUUAUCGCAAUUAUUGAAAAUAAAUAGAGUAGUAGUAAUUUGCCUUCCUA